UGAGGCAAGAAGUUGCUUUGGCAGAGCGACCAUGCUCUGAUUACACGAACACAUUUGCAGAUUCCGGCACCCUCCCAUCUUCAACGACCAUCCCAAGAGCACAAACCUCCUGAUUUCUUUCCCAAACCCAUGUAAAAAGGAGCAAGCCUGGGUCUCCUUUCCCUCCGAGCCCACCUUUUCUAGUCGUUGGUAAAUGAACAGCAGCGAGAAACACACCACAAGAGCGUCCAACCAGAAAGAGCCUAGAAAAAAUCUGUUUCCCAACACAAACUUGGUUCCAACGGAGUCUUUUGAGGAAAUCCAGAAGGUGAGCCAUUAGGGAUACAGAGCUCAAAUCCUGGACUCUACUAUUGCCUCCUGGAAGUCCAGCACUCCCUCUUUGGGCCUAAUAAAUGACAGCCUGAGUCCAUGGAUGGUUCUGACCAGGAACUUGUCCGGACGAAGGCAAAGAAACGCUUCCUCCAGGCCUUAGGAGGAGUUGGGAUCUGCAGAUGAACAGAUCACAGGAGAUGCAUCUUGGUUGGGACAACAAUUAUGCCAACUGCUUAUUGUUUUUGAUAAACUGGCCACAGAUCCUAGUUAGCAAGAACAACAAACCUCACCAACGCCAGAAUCCAGAGACCAUGAGACCAAAAAAAGAAAUUCAUAUAAGAGAAAAAAAUGAUCCAUCCAAUAUAAUCAGUGCCUGCAAUGCUGCACACAGAUAGGUGGUCUCACAGCCUCACUACUUAAGAAUCCCAAUGCAUGACUCCAGGUGCUAGAGGACUGGAUAUGGCCCUACCCUUCAGGAAUCGACUGAGUUACAAAGUGGCUUUGAGAUUGGCAGCAGCCUCUAGGUAAGUGAGGAGCUUUGCUGGUGUUCAUUUUAACUCUAAUUUCCAUAGGAGAUGAAACCUGACUGGUGACUUCCUUUGUAUUUCCCUACAUCUGCCAGGACAAAUCUUUUUGCAGAGGGCUCACCAAAAUAUGUAUAUUCACUACAUAUCUGCUUCUGGGACACUAUCAGGUCUGGCACCCACUCCUCCUACACAACAUGCAUACACAAUAGUAUUAUAGGGGGAAUGAUAAAAAUAAGUAGUCUUGCCGUAGGGACCAGUCUCAGGAACGUGCCUGGUGGAAAUGAAUGUAAUAGUGCCUUGAUAAGAGCCAGGAAUACAAACCACCUCCACGACUGCCAGUAAAGGACAGAGAGAUAAGCAGGGGCUGGGGCAAUGAGGGAGCAAAGGAGUUAAUGUCUUUUCUCCCCGUCUUCACUUAGGGAAUUUGAAUUCUUGAUCAAGCGAUUUGUCAGGAUUGUUGUGUAUUUACUGUAAUUACAGAACAUCAAAUGUGCAUUGACGUAAUUACCAUAAAUAUGUGUAAAGACAUUAUAACGUGUAAUUAUGUCAUAUAAUUCUUUAAUAAAGCAUGCAGAAGAAAAAUUACUCUGCACAUGCUCAAUGCAUAUCUUCUCCUGACUCUUUCUACUGAAGGUUUUAUUUGCUCCCUCCCCCUCCCUCUUUUCAAAUUCCAGAGACAGUUUCUCCCAUUUAGGAUUAACUAGCAGAAGGGUGAGAUUAGAAUGUGUGU
rnacentral:lncRNA from 10 species